rnacentral:lncRNA from 1 species
CUGCAUGCUGUGUUUUAUAGAACUAAAAUAAAAUCCGAAGUCCCCAAGUGACUGAACAGACCCCCUCUUGGCCAAGGGGACCCCAGAGAAACCUGAAAGCUGAGCUCCCAGCCAUGAGGGGACGGGCGAUCGGACACGCUUCAUCACAGUCCCUCCCCUUUGUGGUUUAAACGACGAUGAUCGGCUGUCAUGCUAAAAUAGAGACACGAGACCGACAGCACAGACUCCUUAUGGCAAUAAGACACCAAAUUAUAAGCAGCACCUCAGGCCACGCCAGGUAAGGGUCGAGCCGCGCACUCUACACUUAGAGAACGGACUCUGCUCUCACACCACAGCGUCUUCUUUUUCUUCAGCAGCUAAACACGCACCGGCCCCGAGAUUCAAACGACUGCAGCUCAUCCACCUGCAGACGCUGGCUGACCCCGUUCCACAGCUGUGACUAUAGCUUUGAUUGGACAAGAGGUUGAUUUCAGUCUCCUGCUCCUCCUGGAACCUGAAUAUGUAUGUUUGGCCAGCUCAAUUCAGCAUGAGGCUCCUGCUGCAACACCGCCUCCUUCCAGGUGCCUGCCAGCUGUUUCUGCCAGAGGCUGCGUCUCCCGGCCUGUCAGAAUGGCCACCCUGCAGGCUGUAAUCCUUUAGAAGAAAUAAAGAUCCCCUUUCCAGAUGUAUAGAUCUUGUGAUUU